UUUCAAGUGUUCACUAAAAGUAAUUUUUUUGUUAUUUUUAUAUUUACAAUAAUAUUCUAAAAAAAAAAGAUAAAAGAUAAAAAAAAGUUCUUUAAAAUCUUCUAUCUUAAUUUAUUAAUUGAAUUAACAAUUGAUGCUAAUUGAUAUAAAUAAAUUCCGCAUGUCUGACCAGUUACAAAAUAUUCCCUGGCUGAUCUAUAAUUAAUAUAUCUACUGUAAUUAUACUGUAGUAGAUUUUUACUUUAAUGUCAGACAAAGUACACGUGUUUAAAAUAUCAAGUAUUUAUGCGUAUUAAAUAACAAAAAUGAAUUAAUAAGCAAUAAAUAUUUUAAAGAUUUGAGAGUUAUGUUAAAUUAUUUAAAGAAAUUCCGUAAAAAAUUUUUUUUAAAAAUAUUAUGAGUUUAUUAAGAAGAGAAAGUCAGCUAAAAUAUAAAUUUUGAAAUAAUUAGAUGUAAUCAUCAAAUAUGCAUAAAAUAAUGGUACUUUGAUGUAUAUGCGUACACGCAGGCAUUGGUUUUGUGGCUAUUUUGACCACAAAGGAAUGAUGGAUAAUAACUAUGGAUAACUACAAAGUCUUCCAAGAAGUCAGGUUAAAUUAAUUAUUCGUUACAAAUUGAUAUUUUGCUCAUACAAAAUGUCUAUUUUUUUUGUUGGCAUCAAAUAAUAUAUUUUUAUACAUUAAUUUAUACCAUCAUUAACGCACCGUGGUUCGUAGGCCAACAAAACACUCUACCAGGGUAUACAUGCUGCCACAAUCAAAGAGGAAAUCUCGCUUUACAGCACAAAAUACCAAGUCAGACUCUACAAACAUCCGAAUCCAUUAGUGAAAGACCUAGAGUCCAGAAGUGAACCCACAUGCCUUAAGUGUAUCAAGACCCUGGACCUUCCACAGCGCUUCUAAUAUUCUAUUCGCACGAAAGUAUUUUGCCAUUGGAAAAAGCUCUAAUCUCUAUGUUUUACUCUAUCAUCUUAAUUAUUUAUUGUCAUUUGACAGAUUGUAGUUAUGCAUUUAAUGAAUAAACAAAAAGUACAUUAAUUUAAAUUGUAUAUAAAUUAUUGUAAGCUUUUAGCAAAGUGAAAGUUUAAAAAUUUUUUUAAGACGCGUUUUCAUUUGUUUCUCUAUUCGCACUCAACUGGAUAAACGGUACUAUCUUUGUUGCACUUGUACAGUAAAUGGGAACUUUGUCCAAGCUUUUCUCGUAAACGAAUGG